rnacentral:rRNA from 1 species
UACGGAAGGGGCAAGCGUUGUUCGGAAUCAUUGGGCGUAAAGGGCGCGUAGGUGGUUCUGUAUGUCUACCGUGAAAGCAUACAGCUCAACUGUAUUUUGUCGGUAGAAACUGCAGGACUUGAGGCUGGGAGGGGCUGGUGGAAUUCCUGGUGUAGCGGUGAAAUGCGCAGAUAUCAGGAGGAACACCGGUGGCGAAGGCGGGUCUCUGGGCCGAUACUGACGCUGAGGAGCGAAAGCGUGGGGAGCGAACAGG